rnacentral:lncRNA from 1 species
GUGUCUCCCAGAUGGUCACUUGAUCUUCAGACCGGUGUUUUUCCUGCGUGGUGGCUCUCUUUGGACCUGUCUGGCUCUGGUACCAAACCCCAGGGACUGAAGAGAUUCAGUGAGAAAGCGUUGAGUGGGGGACACACACAGCAUUAUCAGGAGCUUGGCAUCUCCUCCUGUGGCAGAAAUGAGAUCAGAGGUCAAACGGAUGGUCAGAAGAAAAAAAAUUACAAACAGGUUUGGAGUAAAUGCGGACAGUCCAUGCUCUUACCCACACACUCGCUGCCAGCCAGAUCCACCAGCUGCAGUUUGGUCUUAAGGGGCGCCUGUGUGAUGCUGGGUCGUGGAGAAGGGCAUGGUGAGUGACAGGGUGAGUGGCAUGGUGAGGAGGCGGGGCUAGAGGAGCGUGAAGAGGCGGCCCUGCGGCAGCGCGGGCUCCACCACUCUUUUUGAGACACUCGCUGGACGUCCUGUCUGGCAUUCUGAAGCCUACGAGCUGCAGCACAGAUAGAUCACACUGUAUGAGUCCUAAAAAAGUCUGUUAAGGUAACAAAAUCCCUUGAAACAGGUCAAUUGAUUUUGCAGCCAUCUUGGUUGACCAUUAUGUACUACUGCCACUACUACUAGGUACUGGUAUUCUUAAUGUUUAUACUAAUGUUAUGUAUAAAAUAUUUUGAAAAUAGAUAAAAGAUAAUUGAAUAUAUGCAUAUUUGUAAUUAUAUUAUUUUAUAUUAUUG